AUUCCCUGCAGUUUAUGCACUAUCUCACAUUAACUUCUAAUUUUUCAGAAAAAUACCAAAAGAAUAGCAAAACUCCCAAGGUGAUAAUAUGAAAUAGCCUAAUAUAUUAUCCUGACAACAUCCCUACAGGCUGCCAAGAAAUAUGAAAUUCAACAAGAAAAGACGCUCUGCUGCAAAACUUCACUGUAAGAGCAGGAAUGAUCACCUUCAGAAACUAUACUCAAGACCACUGCAACUGCACAGGAAUUGUAUGCAGAAAGACAUUAUCUCUCAGACUCAGAGCACAGUGCUUGGCUCAGGACAAGACUUGGUCGAAGCACCUGGACAGGUACCUUUGGCAUGGACAUUCUGGAGCAGGGAGUGGACUAAGCAGAUUCAGGAAAUGAAGAAUAGACUGGAUGCUGAAGUUGGAUUUUAGGUGAUGGGCUAGUUUAUGGGAGCAAGUGAGGAACACCCAAAAAUAAUUGCAAGACACUUUAAAAAAAUUAAUUUCUAACAAUUUUCCAAGUGUAGCCUUAAAGACAAAAAUGAGGUCACUCAGAAAAUUCAGAGGCAACAUUAUUUUAUAAGCACAGAUUAAUAAAGCCCAUGUCAUGUGGAUUACUCACUCGGCCCUUUUAAGAUUUUCACAGACAUCAAGAGUAACGUAUUAUCAAAUAUCAUGCACACAUCUCUUAAAGAUCAGCACACUUGUUAGCAAAGACUAAUUUACACCUCACUUAGGAUUCAAAGAACAGGAACACUUCUGUAAAACUCGGGGCUCAGGUGGCUGGCAGAGUGGGCUCUGGGAUGAAAAUUUAUGGAUGUUGGGAAAUCAAUACAGGGAAAUUGGGCAUUGAUUCUCAAAUAGCCUCUUCACAAUUUCCUUACAACCCAAUAUCUGAUGAUAUUUUAAAUGAACAGAAGAAAUAAAUUAUUUUUACAUAUUAUAUGUGUGUUAUUAUGUUUUCUAAAGGGAAAUGUUGAUAUUUCUUAAAAGGUUUUGUAUCACAAAAGUCAAUUCUUCUAAUCUUUGGACAGCCCUAUGUUGUUAUGUUUCUGGCAUCUCCUCAGCCACCUGUGCAACUUUCCUAAAUUUUCAUUUCACAAAACCCAAGCAGUCUUUUUAUACGCUUAAUAAAAUCA
rnacentral:lncRNA from 1 species